GUGGAGUAGGUGAAGGUAAAGAUGGGAAAUUCUAACAAUUCAAUACUAAUUCAAUUUAAGAAAAUUCAUAUAUGACUCUCUGUACAUCUGACCUCUCCAUCGAUGCUGCAGAUUACGCUGUUCAAAGUAUCAAUUGCUAACAAGAUCGAUCUUGGAACUGUCCUCAAGUUAAAUCUUCAUUCUUCUAAUCAAUCCUACUACCAUAAUAGCAAAGGAAAAUACACUUGUUGACUAUAUAAGAAAUGUGGCAUUUUGUUUGGUAAUUAGUUACUUUUCUUUUUUCCAGGUUCAGAUAGUUACGCUGUGUUUGGAUCAUAGAUUUGAAUAUGGAUUUGGAAAAAGGAAAGGGGGAGAAGAAAAAAAAGUCAAGGAAAUGUGAAUGAGAUAUAAGCUAAAUUUUUUCUCCAUUUCUUUUUCUUUUUCCAAAUCUCUAUCCAAAUUCAUGAUCCAAACCCAGUGUUCAUGUUUUGGCAAUUGUCUGACAGCUACCUGAAGGAAUAUUUGGAAUGGAACUCUUCAAACUAUUCUUACUUCAAUAUGCAACUGCUGUGAUAAGGGAGAUGGUUUGCUGACCCAUUGAAAGUCCAGUGUUAAUAUAAGCUUCAACUCUGUGUUCAUGUCAUGAUUUGCCAGUGGAGGUGAUUUACAUACGCGGUCAAGUUAUUACCCAUGAAUUCCAGCUUCAAUGGUUUAAAAAUUUUCAAGACUAUAUGUCAGUUUCUUGUAUAUUGAAAUAUCGUAGAAGCACCAUGUACGGUGUGAUGAGGGUACUGAUAUUGAAUGUAAAUAUAGUUAAUUAUUAGAUUAUGGAGAAAAAAAGUUCAUUAUGUAGCAAGGGCAGCAAUAUUUCAUUCACACUUUGUGGUUGUACAUUUGUUCUGCUGCAUUCAUCAGUUGGUUGUACUAAUGAAGUGAAUUAUUUUUCCACAAA